AAGUUUGUUCGUGAUUGUGCUCAAUUAUCUUGAUUUUUCGUGUAUGUUCCCCCACUCCCCACCGCACUUGUUUUCAUGCGCUAACCUGCCCCAUUCCCUUUAACCGCAGAGAAUGUUUAAAUCUCCAAAUUCGGUUUUGAACAAGGCUAGGACGCAAUUACUUAAUAAGCAGCGGGUAUUAUCUGAGGGCAGAAACUUCGGCCACUACGCUGUCGGUAUGGCUGACGAAGAUGCAUGAAUUUGAUUGGGAACAACGAUAAUUAUUUGUCAUUUAGAGAUUCGAUCCUUCAUUUGUGUAACGAUAUUUCUUACAUUUCAUAAGUGCACUUUGUCCAAUCCUGUACUCCUAUCGAUUUCAUCUGAUGAUGUGAGACUUAUGAUGUUGUAAUAUGAAUAACAAACAGAUAUUAAGAACGGAUUUCAAAUGCCUAUUUGUUUUAA